rnacentral:rRNA from 1 species
GGAUUGAACGCUGGCGGCGGUGCCUAAUACAUGCAGUCGAGCGCGUGGAAUGAAGCUUAGCCUCCUUCUGGAGUGACGCUUGUGUGACUAGCGGCGGACGGGUGGCUUGCACGUGGGCGACCUACCUGUAAAACUGGGAUAACUCCGGGAAACCGGGGCUAAUACCGGAUGAUACAUGUCCUCACCUGACGAGAUGUUAAAAACGCGGCAUAUACUGUCACUUACAGAUGGGCCUGCCGCGCAUUAGCUAGUUGGUGAGAUAAAACCUAAACAAUGAUACGAUGCGUAGCCAAUCUGACAGGGUGAUCACUCACACUGGAACUGACACUCGGCCAAAAUUCCUACUGGAGGAAACCCUGAGGAAUCUUCCCCACUGGACUAAAGUCUGACUGAGCAUCGCCGCGUGAGUGAUGAAGGUUUUCGGAUCGUAAAACUCUGUUGUUAGGGAAUAACAAUUGCCAUUCGAAUAGGUUGGCACCUUGACCGUGCCUAACCACACAGUACCGGCUAACUACGUGCCAGCCCGCCGCGGUA